GUCCAUGCCGUAAACGUUGGGCACUAGGUGUGGGGAUUGUUCCACGAUUCCUGUACCGUAGCUAACGCAUUAAGUGCCCCGCCUGGGGAGUACGGCCGCAAGGCUAAAACUCAAAGGAAUUGACGGGGGCCCGCACAAGCGGCGGAGCAUGCGGAUUAAUUCGAUGCAACGCGAAGAACCUUACCAAGGCUUGACAUACACCGGAACUGCUCAGAGAUGGGUAGGUCUUCGGACUGGUGUACAGGUGGUGCAUGGUUGUCGU
rnacentral:rRNA from 1 species